GAUGAACGCUGGCGGCGUGCCUAACACAUGCAAGUCGAACGGAGCUGCUUUGAUGAAGUUUUCGGAUGGAUUUAAAACAGCUUAGUGGCGGACGGGUGAGUAACGCGUGGGUAACCUGCCUCACACUGGGGGAUAACAGUUAGAAAUAGCUGCUAAUACCGCAUAAGCGCACAGUUCCGCAUGGAACAGUGUGAAAAACUCCGGUGGUGUGAGAUGGACCUGGGUCUGAUUAGCCAGUUGGCGGGGUAACGGCCCACCAAAGCGACGAUAAGGAGCCGGCCGGAGAGGGUGAACGGCCACAAUGGGGCUGAGACACGGCCCAAACUCCGACGGGAGGCAGCAGUGGGGAAUAUUGCACAAUGGGGGAAACCCUGAUGCAGCGACGCCGCGUGAGUGAAGAAGUAUUUCGGUAUGUAAAGCUCUAUCAGCAGGGAAGAAAGUGACGGUACCUGAAUAAGAAGCCCCGGCUAACUACGUGCCAGCCGCCGCUGUAA
rnacentral:rRNA from 1 species